ACAUCUUCAUAAAUUCUUUUAUAUUCAAUAUGUGUAGAGUUACUUGUGGUGUCAAAGAUGCGGUCACUUGUGGCCACAAGGUCGUGAGGAACUGGUCAACCAGCAAAGACAAAGCAAGCUGCAUAAAUUCUUCUGGUCCCUGUAUGUCUUCGCCAUCUGGUCCCUGCAUGUCUUCGUUGUCUGUCAUGUUGCUUGCCAUCCACUGGCUCUGAAGGCACUAUCUUCUACCUCA
rnacentral:lncRNA from 1 species